UUAAGAUCUUCAGGGCACCUGAAGCCCAACUUGCUAAUUACGACAAUGGACAGUCAUUAAGGGCCAUGGCUUCCACAGUGGGAACCUAUACAGACCAGGUGCAAUGGUUUGUCAAGCCCCUACAUUUGUCCUUGCUCUGACUGAAGUAGGCCUUGGUGCAGAUGCUCCAGAUCCACCUGCAGAACUCUGACAUACUGCACAGACACAGGAACCAUGUG